rnacentral:tRNA from 1 species
GCUCGCGGAAGUGUAAUAAUGGGACUCAAAAUCCGCCGAGGGCAACCUCGUGGGGGUUCGAUUCCCCCUCCCGGCACCA